CGGUAAUUCCAGCUCCAAUAGCGUAUACUAAAGUUGUUGCAGUUAAAAAGCUCGUAGUUGUAUUUCUGCGGGGACGGAGCGGCCGGUCGCAACUUGCGACUCGAGCUAGCGCUUUCCCCGCAUCCUGCCGCGAACCGUGCUACCAUUAGCUUGGUGGCGCUGGGGAUCGGCUCGAUUACUUUGAGAAAAAUAGAGUGUUCAAAGCAGGCCACACGCCUUGAAUAAGUUAGCAUGGAAUAAUGACUAAGGACUUCGGUCCUAUUUUGUUGGUGUUCGGGACUGAAGUAAUGAUUGAUAGGGACAGUUGGGGCGGUCUGUAUUCCAAAGCGAGAGGUGAAAUUCUUAGACCUUCGGAAGACAAACAGCUGCGAAAGCGUUCCGCAUGGAUGUUCCCUUUGAUCAAGAACGAAAGUUGGGGGAUCGAAGACGAUCAGAUACCGUCGUAGUCUCAACUAUAAACUAUACCAGCUAGGGAUCGGUCAACGUUUAACCUCUCGACUUGAUCGGCACCUUAUGAGAAAUCAAAGCAUCUGGGUUCCGGGGGGAGUAUGGUCGCGAGGCUGAAACUUAAAGGAAUUGACGGAAGGGCACCACCAGCCGUGGAGCCUGUGGCUUAAUUUGACUCAACACGGGAAAACUUACCAGGUCCAGACAUAGUAAGGAUUGACAGAUUGAUAGCUCUUUCUUGAUUCUGUGGGUGGUGGUGCAUGGCCGUUCUUAGUUGGUGGAGUGAUUUGUCUGGUUAAUUCCGUUAACGAACGAGACCCCAGCCUGCUAAAUAGCGCGGCUGAGCUUUGCUCGGUGCGAGCUUCUUAGAGGGACUAUGAUGCGCGAUAGCACAUGGAAGUUUGGGGCAAUAACAGGUCUGUGAUGCCCUUAGAUGUUCUGGGCCGCACACGGGCUACACUGGCGCCUGCAACGAGCAUAUCAGCUGGCCCGAGAGGGUCUUGGCUAAUCUUUUGAACCGGCGCCGUGCUUGGGAUUGACCAUUGCAAUUGUUGGUCAUGCAACGAGGAAUGCCUUGUAAACGCGAGUCAUCAGCUCGCAUUGAAUACGUCCCUGCCCUUUGUACACACCGCCCGUCGCUCCUACCGAUGAAUGUUCCGAUGAAAUUUUCGGAGAGCGCCAGAGAACGGGGCUCCGCCUUGCAGAUCUGGAGGCUCAAAGUCACUUAAAUCUGAACAUUUCGAGGAAGGAGAAGUCGUAACAAGGUAACC
rnacentral:rRNA from 1 species